rnacentral:rRNA from 1 species
CUUGCUCCUCUGACGUUAGCGGCGGUCCGGUGAGUAACACGUGGAUAACCUACCUAUAAGACUGGGAUAACUUCGGGAAACCGGAGCUAAUACCGGAUAAUAUAUUGAACCGCAUGGUUCAAUAGUGAAAGACGGUUUUGCUGUCACUUAUAGAUGGAUCCGCGCCGCAUUAGCUAGUUGGUAAGGUAACGGCUUACCAAGGCGACGAUGCGUAGCCGACCUGAGAGGGUGAUCGGCCACACUGGAACUGAGACACGGUCCAGACUCCUACGGGAGGCAGCAGUAGGGAAUCUUCCGCAAUGGGCGAAAGCCUGACGGAGCAACGCCGCGUGAGUGAUGAAGGUCUUCGGAUCGUAAAACUCUGUUAUUAGGGAAGAACAAAUGUGUAAGUAACUAUGCACGUCUUGACGGUACCUAAUCAGAAAGCCACGGCUAACUACGUGCCAGCAGCCGCGGUAAUACGUAGGUGGCAAGCGUUAUCCGGAAUUAUUGGGCGUAAAGCGCGCGUAGGCGGUUUUUUAAGUCUGAUGUGAAAGCCCACGGCUCAACCGUGGAGGGUCAUUGGAAACUGGAAAACUUGAGUGCAGAAGAGGAAAGUGGAAUUCCAUGUGUAGCGGUGAAAUGCGCAGAGAUAUGGAGGAACACCAGUGGCGAAGGCGACUUUCUGGUCUGUAACUGACGCUGAUGUGCGAAAGCGUGGGGAUCAAACAGGAUUAGAUACCCUGGUAGUCCACGCCGUAAACGAUGAGUGCUAAGUGGUAAGGGGGUUCCGCCCCCUUAGUGCUGCAGCUUAACGCAUUAAGCACUCCCGCCUGGGGGAGUACGACCGCC